GAUAAGUUCAAUCAAUAUAUUUUGCACCGCCAACUUAUCAUCGAAGAGGGCCAAGUGAAAUUGUGCUUAAAAAAAAAGAAUUAGUAAAGAACAGGAGAAAAAAAUUCAGCAACGAAUAUGAACGACUGGGCCGCCUACAUAGCCCCUUUCAAUGAGAGACGCCGCAUCGCCGAGCCAGACCCGGCGCACAUCUAUGGUUUGCAUCACAUGGAGAGCCUCUGCAUGAACAAUCUCUUCUCGGACGUGUCUUUCCUCGUGGAGGGGCAGCGCCUGCCGGCGCACCGCCAUAUUCUAGCGAAUCGCAGUCAGUACUUCGGGGAACUGCUCUUCGGUGGCAUGUGCAAUUCAAAGGGUAAACUGAUUCCGCUGGAGGUGCCGCUGGAGGCAUUCAAAGUAAUACUGCGCUACGUUUACUCGGGCCCUGUGCCCUUAUCCUUGGAUACGGAUGCUAUCGUGCAAUUGCUCGAUUUGGCCACUAUGUAUGGCUUGCUGGAACUCAGGGAGGUCAUAACCAGAUACCUAAACGGCCGUAGUGUUUCUUAGAUGACCCUGUUCAGAAAAAGGCCGUCAGGCAAGGAACUGGAGCGGGCGUGCAUAAAAGACAAAUAUCUUCUCAACAAUUCCAAACAAUCCAGCAUACCCGAUUUGUGCUACAAAAUCAAAGGAUGUACUCAAGCUGACUUGAGUUGCAGGAACAGAGUGCACACCUCCUCGCCAGUUAAUACAAAUUAAUACUUCACUCCGCAAUAUUCUUUCUCUAUUCAACUUGGAGGUGCAUCAGAUGGAGAGUAAAAAUAGUACGCUCCAUAUCCCACCUAUUCUAACCUACGUUCCUAUCCAAAAACAUCGUUUUUCAAUUGUAUCCCUGGUAUAAGGCAGCCCAGUUUUAUGUGUCAAAGUCUACAGAGAACUUCGGAACUAAAAAUACAACUAAAAUUCGAUUGAAAUAAAAUUUCAAACUUCUACAAUCAAAAUGAUUCGCCCCUUGCAGCCUGAUAUGCGUGCGGUCGAAGAGGUGGCCAAAAAAGAAGUUCAAGCAAAUAUUUUCUUAUUUGUUCUGACCUGUGCCCUGAUACGCUUUGUGCCAAAAAUCAUAUGCAAGAUCUUUUAGAGGUCUUUUAGAGAUCAUACACUGGAGGGCGCGGCUGAGAGUACAAUAUUCGAAAUUCAUAAUCCACACUGACACAAAAUGUUCACUACCAGAGAUUCAAUUCAGACAUAAUGCAUUUGUUAAUUAUCUAAGCACUCGUUUAUAAUAAACAUAAGGGGUACCAAGCAGA